rnacentral:rRNA from 1 species
AGCGAACGCUGGCGGCAGGCUUAACACAUGCAAGUCGAGCGGGCGUAGCAAUACGUCAGCGGCAGACGGGUGAGUAACGCGUGGAACAUACCUUUUGGUUCGGAACAACACAGGGAAACGUUGUGCUAAUACCGGAUAAGCCCUUACGGGAAGAUUAUCGCCGAAGAUUGGCCCGCGUCUGAUUAGCUAGUUGGUGAGGUAACGGCUCACCAAGGCGACGAUCAGUAGCNGGUCUGAGAGGAUGAUCAGCCACAUUGGGACUGAGACACGGCCCAAACUCCUACGGGAGGCAGCAGUGGGGAAUAUUGGACAAUGGGCGCAAGCCUGAUCCAGCCAUGCCGCGUGAGUGAUGAAGGCCCUAGGGUUGUAAAGCUCUUUCAGCGGGGAAGAUAAUGACGGUACCCGCAGAAGAAGCCCCCGGC